rnacentral:rRNA from 1 species
CCUACGUGAGGCAGCAGUGGGGAAUAUUGGACAAUGGGGGGAACCCUGAUCCAGCGACGCCGCGUGAGUGAAGAAGUAUUUCGGUAUGUAAAGCUCUAUCAGCAGGGAAGAAAGAAAUGACGGUACCUGACUAAGAAGCCCCGGCUAACUACGUGCCAGCAGCCGCGGUAAUACGUAGGGGGCAAGCGUUAUCCGGAUUUACUGGGUGUAAAGGGAGCGUAGACGGCGAUGCAAGUCUGAAGUGAAAGGCGGGGGCCCAACCCCUGGACUGCUUUGGAAACUGUAUGGCUGGAGUGCAGGAGAGGUAAGUGGAAUUCCUAGUGUAGCGGUGAAAUGCGUAGAUAUUAGGAGGAACACCAGUGGCGAAGGCGGCUUACUGGACUGUAACUGACGUUGAGGCUCGAAAGCGUGGGGAGCAAACAGGAUUAGAUACCCCUGUAGUC